CUAAAAAAUUGCCACGCUGUUUGAACAACUCAGCUCCAAAUUACACUAAUUCAUCAUCGACACUCAGCCCUCUUUCUCAAUGUCGAGAGCUGAAAAAUAGGGUUCGAGAGCGGCGAAGAGAGGGCUGGAAAUGGAAGCAAGCUGUGAGUUAAGGGAGGAUUAAAACUUUAUUAGUUCUUGAACUGGGGUUGAAUUUAAUCUUCUUUGAUUUAAGGUACUAUUCUUACUCGAUUUUGUUUCUUGUACCUGUAUAUGCAUAUGCCUGUGUAUGUACAUCUCUCUCUCUCUCUCUCUCUCUCUCUCUCUCUCCCUUCCUUUCUCUCCCUCUCCCUCUCUCCUGAGCUGUUCCUUCUCAUGUCUAGGUCAGAUUCACUGUUCGAUUUUCGGUUGCAUCGCUAAUUACUACUAAUCACACUCUAGAUCCGUGAAUCUCGGAUACGUGUUCGCCUAAUUCAACUCGAAUCUGUUGUUAAUUUGUUAAUUAGUGUUUGACUCAGGUCUUGACUUCAUUAAUUAAGGCUCAGCUACUUGGAUAAUGUUUAUCUUACUUAUUGUGUCUAUAGCUUGAAUGGCCUAAUGAUAUAAAACCCCAGGUUAGCUGUAAUUUUAUUGAUUUUUUACAUUGUUAUUUCUAUUUAUGCCUCUUUCAAAUAAUUUGCUCCUCAAUCAGGGUAGUAUGCACUAUGCACUUUAAGUAUUAUUGCUGAUAUUAUUGUCCUGUUUUUCUUGACUAAUUGUCCUGUUUUUCUCAAAGAUUGGUAGUGCCAGGAAAAAUGGAAUUCUUUUAGAAGCCAUUUAAAUCCUCACAGAUCUUGACAUGUCGAUUAAGAAAGCUUAUAUUUCUUCUUAUGAAAGAUGGUUCAUGGAUGGUAAGUUUAAUUAUCACUAAUCCUUUUCAAAAACUUAAACUUUACAAUCUUUUUUUUAUCACUAAUUAUGAUGUAUAUUAUUUUGUUGGUCACAAUUUUUCAUUUGAAUGAUUUGAAUGGAAACAAGUUAAUAGAUGAAAGUGUAAUCGACUACAUGGAACAGGUAAAAUCCAAUUUGCUGGAUCGAAAGGUAUUGAGAGGUUAACACCGGAGCAGGUACUGCCAUACUUAUAUCCACUUAUCUUGCUGAUUUGUUUGCUUUUAUCCAGUAAACUUUAAUAAUAAUUUUAAUGUUGUGUGUUAGUUCCAACACAAUAUGAUUCAGAGACCAUUCCAAUUCUUGUUGUGCCAUCACUUUCUUUUCCUUUUAAUAGUUGACAUGCUAGUAAUUAAUUACGAGCAAUACAGAGCAUUAUUAAUUAAUUUUGUUUAUGUUUUGUUUCUCUGAUCUAGACAGUGAUUAUAACUUAUAUUUGGUCUAACCUCUAACAAUAGCAAGACGUUUGUUCUUGGAAUCUUGCUUCAUGGAAACAAAUAUUUGAGUGUGGAGUGUUGGUUCAAAGAAACAGGUUUCUGAGUUUAAAUCGAAUAGCAUGCUUUCCUUGGAUUUAGAUCAAUUGAUUGACCCUUCUAAUGUUUUGGAACAUAAUAGGUGCUUCUGAUUGACAAGUCUGAAAGAUUUAUCUUUAAGCCAAUGUUACAUGAGCUUCUGAGUGGAGAAGUAGAUUCAUGGGAAAUAGCUCCACGGUUUUCAGAUCUUCUAGCAAAAACUGGUGUGCAAUUUUUACAAGAUAGAGUGAAACUGGUGUGCUAUGUUUGCGGUGCUCGGAUUCUUUAUGAUUUGUUAAGUGUUUGACAUAAGUAGUAGUAUGGAUGUAUAUUUUGGAUGUUUUUGGAAUGUAGGGAAAUCUAUGUAUUCAAAUAGUACCUUUCAAUUUGAUAAUUUUUAGAACCUA